rnacentral:rRNA from 1 species
UACGUAGGGUGCGAGCGUUGUCCGGAAUUAUUGGGCGUAAAGAGCUUGUAGGCGGUUUGUCGCGUCUGCCGUGAAAAUCCGGGGCUCAACCCCGGACUUGCGGUGGGUACGGGCAGACUAGAGUGUGGUAGGGGAGACUGGAAUUCCUGGUGUAGCGGUGAAAUGCGUAGAUAUCAGGAGGAACACCGGUGGUGUAGACGGCUCUCUGGACCGUAACUGACGCUGAGGCACGAAAGCGUGGGUAGCAAACAGG